rnacentral:rRNA from 1 species
UACGGAGGGUGCAAGCGUUAUCCGGAUUCACUGGGUUCAAAGGGUGCGUAGGCGGGCAGGUAAGUCCGUGGUGAAAUCUCUGAGCUUAACUCAGAAACUGCCAUGGAUACUAUUUGUCUUGAAUAUUGUGGAGGUAAGCGGAAUAUGUCAUGUAGCGGUGAAAUGCUUAGAUAUGACAUAGAACACCAAUUGCGAAGGCAGCUUACUACACAGUUAUUGACGCUGAGGCACGAAAGCGUGGGGAUCAAACAGG